rnacentral:tRNA from 1 species
CAUUAAGAAGCUAAGUAGCACUAACCUUUUAAGUUAGA